rnacentral:tRNA from 1 species
GGUACCUUAGCUCAGUUGGUAGAGCAACGGACUGAAAAUCCGUGUGUCCCUAGUUCGAUUCUUGGAGGCACCA